rnacentral:rRNA from 1 species
CCUACGGGUGGCAGCAGUGGGGAAUAUUGGUCAAUGGGCGCGAGCCUGACCCAGCCACGUAGCGUGAAGGAUGACUGCCCUACGGGUUGUAAACUUCUUUUAUAGAGAAGUAAAGUGAGGCACGUGUGCCUUUUUGUGUGUCCUUUAUGAAUGAGGAUCGGCUAACUCCGUGCCGGCAGCCGCGGUAAUACGGAGGAUCCGAGCGUUAUCCGGAUUUAUUGGGUUUAAAGGGAGCGUAGGUGGAUUGGUAAGUCAGUUGUGAAAGUUUGCGGCUCAACCGUAAAAUUGCAGUUGAAACUGGCAGUCUUGAGUACAGUAGAGGUGGGCGGAAUUCGUGGUGUAGCGGUGAAAUGCGUAGAUAUUACGAAGAACUCCGAUGGCGAAGGCAGUUCACUGGACUGCAACUGACACUGAGGCGCGAAAGUGUGGGUAUCAAACAGGAUUAGAUACCCUUGUAGUC